CCGGUAAACGGCGGCCGUAACUAUAACGGUCCUAAGGUAGCGAAAUUCCUUGUCGGGUAAGUUCCGACCUGCACGAAUGGCGUAAUGAUGGCCAGGCUGUCUCCACCCGAGACUCAGUGAAAUUGAACUCGCUGUGAAGAUGCAGUGUACCCGCGGCAAGACGGAAAGACCCCGUGAACCUUUACUAUAGCUUGACACUGAACAUUGAGCCUUGAUGUGUAGGAUAGGUGGGAGGCUUUGAAGUGUGGACGCCAGUCUGCAUGGAGCCGACCUUGAAAUACCACCCUUUAAUGUUUGAUGUUCUAACGUUGGCCCCUGAUCGGGGUUGCGGACAGUGUCUGGUGGGUAGUUUGACUGGGGCGGUCUCCUCCUAAAGAGUAACGGAGGAGCACGAAGGUUGGCUAAUCCUGGUCGGACAUCAGGAGGUUAGUGCAAUGGCAUAAGCCAGCUUGACUGCGAGCGUGACGGCGCGAGCAGGUGCGAAAGCAGGUCAUAGUGAUCCGGUGGUUCUGAAUGGAAGGGCCAUCGCUCAACGGAUAAAAGGUACUCCGGGGAUAACAGGCUGAUACCGCCCAAGAGUUCAUAUCGACGGCGGUGUUUGGCACCUCGAUGUCGGCUCAUCACAUCCUGGGGCUGAAGUAGGUCCCAAGGGUAUGGCUGUUCGCCAUUUAAAGUGGUACGCGAGCUGGGUUUAGAACGUCGUGAGACAGUUCGGUCCCUAUCUGCCGUGGGCGCUGGAGAACUGAGGGGGGCUGCUCCUAGUACGAGAGGACCGGAGUGGACGCAUCACUGGUGUUCGGGUUGUCAUGCCAAUGGCACUGCCCGGUAGCUAAAUGCGGAAGAGAUAAGUGCUGAAAGCAUCUAAGCACGAAACUUGCCCCGAGAUGAGUUCUCCCUGACUCCUUGAGA
rnacentral:rRNA from 1 species